UACGUAGGAGGCGAGCGUUGUCCGGAAUCACUGGGCGUAAAGCGCGUGUAGGCGGUGCGGCAAGUCUGCUGUGAAAGCGCCCGGCUUAACUGGGCGAGGUCGGCGGAAACUGCCACACUUGAGGCCGGUAGAGGCGGGUAGAAUUCCCGGUGUAGUGGUGAAAUGCGUAGAGAUCGGGAGGAAUACCAGUGGCGAAGGCGGCUCACUGGCCCGGUACUGACGCUGAGGUGCGAAAGCGUGGGGAGCAAACAGG
rnacentral:rRNA from 1 species